rnacentral:rRNA from 1 species
GACGAACGCUGGCGGCGUGCUUAACACAUGCAAGUCGAACGGAAAGGCCCUGCUUUUGUGGGGUGCUCGAGUGGCGAACGGGUGAGUAACACGUGAGUAACCUGCCCUUGACUUUGGGAUAACUUCAGGAAACUGGGGCUAAUACCGGAUAGGAGCUCCUGCUGCAUGGUGGGGGUUGGAAAGUUUCGGCGGUUGGGGAUGGACUCGCGGCUUAUCAGCUUGUUGGUGGGGUAGUGGCUUACCAAGGCUUUGACGGGUAGCCGGCCUGAGAGGGUGACCGGCCACAUUGGGACUGAGAUACGGCCCAGACUCCUACGGGAGGCAGCAGUGGGGAAUAUUGCACAAUGGGCGGAAGCCUGAUGCAGCAACGCCGCGUGCGGGAUGACGGCCUUCGGGUUGUAAACCGCUUUCGCCUGUGACGAAGCGUGAGUGACGGUAAUGGGUAAAGAAGCACCGGCUAACUACGUGCCAGCAGCCGCGGUGAUACGUAGGGUGCGAGCGUUGUCCGGAUUUAUUGGGCGUAAAGGGCUCGUAGGUGGUUGAUCGCGUCGGAAGUGUAAUCUUGGGGCUUAACCCUGAGCGUGCUUUCGAUACGGGUUGACUUGAGGAAGGUAGGGGAGAAUGGAAUUCCUGGUGGAGCGGUGGAAUGCGCAGAUAUCAGGAGGAACACCAGUGGCGAAGGCGGUUCUCUGGGCCUUUCCUGACGCUGAGGAGCGAAAGCGUGGGGAGCGAACAGGCUUAGAUACCCUGGUAGUCCACGCUGUAAACGGUGGGUACUAGGUGUGGGGUCCAUUCCACGGGUUCCGUGCCGUAGCUAACGCUUUAAGUACCCCGCCUGGGGAGUACGGCCGCAAGGCUAAAACUCAAAGGAAUUGACGGGGCCCCGCACAAGCGGCGGAGCAUGCGGAUUAAUUCGAUGCAACGCGUAGAACCUUACCUGGGUUUGACAUGGAUCGGGAGUGCUCAGAGAUGGGUGUGCCUCUUUUGGGGUCGGUUCACAGGUGGUGCAUGGCUGUCGUCAGCUCAUGUCGUGAGAUGUUGGGUUAAGUCCCGCAACGAGCGCAACCCUUGUUCACUGUUGCCAGCACGUUAUGGUGGGGACUCAGUGGAGACCGCCGGGGUCAACUCGGAGGAAGGUGGGGAUGACGUCAAGUCAUCAUGCCCCUUAUGUCCAGGGCUUCACGCAUGCUACAAUGGCUGGUACAGAGAGUGGCGAGCCUGUGAGGGUGAGCGAAUCUCGGAAAGCCGGUCUCAGUUCGGAUUGGGGUCUGCAACUCGACCUCAUGAAGUCGGAGUCGCUAGUAAUCGCAGAUCAGCAACGCUGCGGUGAAUACGUUCCCGGGGCU